AGUGGCGGACGGGUGAGUAACGCGUGGGUAACCUGCCCUAUACAGGGGGAUAACAGUUAGAAAUGACUGCUAAUACCGCAUAAGCGCACUAAAACCGCAUGGUUCGGUGUGAAAAACUGAGGUGGUAUAGGAUGGACCCGCGUCUGAUUAGCUUGUUGGUGGGGUAACGGCUCACCAAGGCGACGAUCAGUAGCCGGCCUGAGAGGGCGACCGGCCACAUUGGGACUGAGACACGGCCCAAACUCCUACGGAAGGCAGCAG
rnacentral:rRNA from 1 species